GACGAACGCUGGCGGCGUGCCUAAUACAUGCAAGUUGAGCGAUGAAGCUUGGUGCUUGCACCAAUUUGAAGAGCAGCGAACGGGUGAGUAACGCGUGGGGAAUCUGCCUUUGAGCGGGGGACAACAUUUGGAAACGAAUGCUAAUACCGCAUAACAACUUUAAACAUAAGUUUUAAGUUUGAAAGAUGCAAUUGCAUCACUCAAAGAUGAUCCCGCGUUGUAUUAGCUAGUUGGUGAGGUAAAGGCUCACCAAGGCGAUGAUACAUAGCCGACCUGAGAGGGUGAUCGGCCACAUUGGGACUGAGACACGGCCCAAACCCCUACGGGAGGCAGCAGUAGGGAAUCUUCGGCAAUGGACGAAAGUCUGACCGAGCAACGCCGCGUGAGUGAAGAAGGGUUUCGGAUCGUAAAACUCUGUUGGUAGAGAAGAACGUUGGUGAGAGUGGAAAGCUCAUCAAGUGACGGUAACUACCCAGAAAGGGACGGCUAACUACGUG
rnacentral:rRNA from 1 species